rnacentral:rRNA from 1 species
ACGAACGCUGGCGGCGUGGAUAAGACAUGCAAGUCGAACGCUGAUUACGGGGUAGCAAUAUUCCGUGGUUGGAGUGGCGUAAGGGUGCGUAACACGUGGGUAAUCUGCCGCGAAGACUGGGAUAACUUGCUGAAAGGCGAGCUAAUACCGGGUGCGAAUGCCGGAGGGCCUCCUCGGGCAUUCAAAGCUGGGGACCGAAAGGCCUGGCACUUCGCGAUGAGCCCGCGGCCUAUCAGGUAGUUGGCGGGGUAAUGGCCCACCAAGCCGAAGACGGGUAGCUGGUCUGAGAGGACGACCAGCCACACUGGAACUGAGACACGGUCCAGACACCUACGGGUGGCAGCAGUCGAGAAUUUUUCACAAUGGGCGCAAGCCUGAUGGAGCGACGCCGCGUGGGGGAUGAAGGUCUUCGGAUCGUAAAGCACUUUCGACCGGGACGAAAACCCGUUGGCUAACAUCCAACGGACUGACGGUACCGGGAGAAGAAGCACCGGCUAACUCUGUGCCAGCCGCCGCUGUAAUAC